GUCCCAGUAGUGUCCCCUCUUAACUUCUUGAGAUCCCCCAACCUCCUCUCUGGUGGGGUGAGGAGCUGAAAAAGCCCUGAUUCUGUAACCAUACAAGACUUUGCAAGGAGGCUGCAGCUCUGCAUGUUUCUGGCUGCGGGGAUUGCCCAAGAUCUCUUGCUGACUCUUGGUCACACAGUCUUUUAGCAUGCAGGAGAUGCCAGUUGUUGAGAAGCUAUGCUGCCAAGUGCUUUGUGUGGAGGACUCCGAAUCUCUAACUGCAGAGGUAGAAAGAUCCUGUACCUGUGAAAUCAGAAAUGAAGACUCCCAUUGCAAAGAAGGCCAGAAGCUGAUGAUUUCUCCUACCAGGAGAAAAG